rnacentral:rRNA from 1 species
GAGUUUGAUCAUGGCUCAGAUUGAACGCUGGCGGUAUGCAUAACACAUGCAAGUCGAACGGUAGCAGGCUCGGGAAACCGAGUGCUGACGAGUGGCGGACGGGUGAGUAAUGCGUAGGGAUUUGCCUAGUAGAGGGGGAUAACCUGGGGAAACUCAGGCUAAUACCGCAUAUGCCUAAGGGUGAAAGAGGGGGACCGUAAAAGGCCUCUUGCUACUGGAUGAACCUGCGUAGGAUUAGCUAGUUGGUAGGGUAAAGGCCUACCAAGGCGAAGAUCCUUAACUGGUCUGAGAGGACGACCAGUCACACUGGGACUGAGACACGGCCCAGACUCCUACGGGAGGCAGCAGUGGGGAAUAUUGGACAAUGGGCGCAAGCCUGA